AGAUUUUUUAACAGAAAUUUUCGUAACGGACACCACGACGGUACCGUGGUCGGAAUUGCAGUAGUUCAUCCAUGUGAACGACACUGUAUUAUGGUCAGGAUCGUCUGAUUGCAUCGAACCACAUCGAAUAGACGUACCGCACAGUGAUCACCGUUAUGAAAAUAGGUUCGAUUUUUUUAUUCAUUUUAGACCAUAACUAAAUAUCAGAUAUGCUUAAUUUCAGUUGAACCUUAUAAGUUUACGAAAAUGUUUAAUAGAAAUUACACUUUUCUAAUGGAUUGAGUCUUCUUUUAUGAGCUUAACCCGACCCGGCUAACCCGGACGGGUCAGGCACGUCAGGGCAAAACGGAUCCGCCCGUCAUAUUGAGCCAAAUGGACAUGUUAGUCCUGGUCCGAGGUGGGUCUGGUCUGAUGGAACAGAGGUAUCAUUAUUUAUCAAGGUACAUCUACCAACCAUUGUCUUUUUUUGCAAUAUUUGUUUAUCUCUCUUUCCUUUUCUAUUGCUAUUUAUGUUUUUUUGACUAAAUUAAAAAUCGUUUCAUAUUUACUUCAUAAUUCAACAUUAUCAUUCUUACAAUUACGAAUUUCCAAACCUUCUUCAUUUCCUGUUGCUUACAACCUAAUUCGUUUUUAAUUUUUUUCCCAAUCAUCUAUCCUUUUUUUAUACUUUCCGAACUUUGUUUGUGUCUUCAUUCAGAUAAUUUUUCAAGU
rnacentral:lncRNA from 1 species